rnacentral:rRNA from 1 species
AACGAACGCUGGCGGCAUGCCUAACACAUGCAAGUCGAACGAGACCUUCGGGUCUAGUGGCGCACGGGUGCGUAACGCGUGGGAACCUGCCCUUAGGUUCGGAAUAACUCCCCGAAAGGGGUGCUAAUACCGGAUAAUGUCUUCGGACCAAAGAUUUAUCGCCUUUGGAUGGGCCCGCGUUGGAUUAGCUAGUUGGUAGGGUAAAAGCCUACCAAGGCGACGAUCCAUAGCUGGUCUGAGAGGAUGAUCAGCCACACUGGGACUGAGACACGGCCCAGACUCCUACGGGAGGUAGCAGUGGGGAAUAUUGGACAAUGGGCGAAAGCCUGAUCCAGCAAUGCCGCGUAAGUGAUGAAGGCCUUAGGGUUGUAAAGCUCUUUUACCCGGGAUGAUAAUGACAGUACCGGGAGAAUAAGCUCCGGCUAACUCCGUG